UACGAAGGGGGCUAGCGUGCUCGGAAUCACUGGGCGUAAAGCGCACGUAGGCGGAUUGCUAAGUCAGGGGUGAAAUCCUGGAGCUCAACUCCAGAACUGCCUUUGAUACUGGCGAUCUUGAGUCCGGGAGAGGUGAGUGGAACUGCGAGUGUAGAGGUGAAAUUCGUAGAUAUUCGCAAGAACACCAGUGGCGAAGGCGGCUCACUGGCCCGGUACUGACGCUGAGGUGCGAAAGCGUGGGGAGCAAACAGG
rnacentral:rRNA from 1 species